rnacentral:lncRNA from 1 species
AAUAUAUACACGUAACAAAUCAAAAAUAGAGGGACCACAUGAGAUUCCUUCGGCUUUGUUUUUGUCAAAUUAAAAUAAGGGGGGCCAUGGAUUUGUAUUCACUUAUUCACAUAUAUACUCCUAAUCAUCAUCUUAUCUUCUCCACAUAGAGAAACUUGUGGUCACUCUCAAAUUGACGACACACAUACUCCAUAGAUAAAAUACACAUGUACAGACGCGAUUUUAAGGGAGGCUGGGGAAUUCUUUUCAUUUUCUGACUCUAAAUACACACUGUUCAAACUGAAUAUACACACCGAAAAGAAUCGGGGAGUGUGAGAAAAUAAGAGAAAUUAGCAAGAUAGAGAUCAUGAUAUCAGAGAGAGAGGGAUAAGGUGAUGGUGAGCUGAAAUCGAUCAGAAUAGGGGGGCUGGUGAGAGGAGUUCAUCCCUGAAAAUGGUCUUAUUUCAGAGCGGUUUUUCAUGAUAGUUUUGUAUAAGGGUCUAUUUUGUGCUGCUGCUAUCUUUAUUCCAGCGUCAUUGGUAUCCGUUAUUGGUUUGGGGAUUUGGGAUUCUGAUCUUCUUAACCCAUUUAUUGUAUUCAGUUUCGAGUCUUGAGCUUUUCGAUAUCGAGUUUGGAGUUUGUCGUUGUUGAGGUCCUAUUCGAGAUCCCAAAUUCGUAUUUUCUUAAAUCUUAUUACCAACGAAAUCAAUUGUCAAAACUGUUUUGAUAAAGGAUAUCAUAGAGUGACUUAGCACGCCUGAUUUAUGCCAAGUGGCGACGCUGAGUUUUGAACAUAAAAGAUCCUUUUGAAACAAAUUUUCAUUUUUUGUCACUUUGAUAAUAAAAAUCCUUUCAAACUUUAAAACCAUAUUCUUUUUGGUUAAAAAAGGGUGUGACAAAAAGUAGUUUGUGCUUUACCUUGUAGACUCUGUUAGGACAUGAUUAUAGUAUAUUGAUUUUGAGGAGUUUGGGAAUAUCGGUAUUUCUAAAGUCAAUUGGGUUGAUUGGUAUUCAUGCACUUGUGUAUUGUGAAAGGUACUUUAUGAAGUAGAAAUAUUGGAAGAAUUACUUUUUCAUGUGAAUCUAGGUUUGAAAUUAGUUGAUAGACAUUAUAGGCAUUGUUUUACUUCUUUGAAUAUGGCUAGAAGAGCCUUGAUUGAACAGUCAAUUGAUGACUUCAGAUACUAAUAUAUCAUCUUAGAAAUGGACCAAUUUAUGCGGUUAAAUGAUGAACCUUGAAAAAUGUAUAUGUAUUCAUACAUAUUCGUAUCAUUUUUGUUGAUACAUGAUAUAAAUUGUCCUGUGGUGCCCAUUGACUUGAUUUUUAUGAACAUCAUUAUGCAUUUUGAAAAGCUUAUGUCUACUCUUCUAAAGUCAUGUUUUAUGGUGAUUGAAAUGAUUCUAACAAGUUUAUAUCAUACAAAGACGAUAAAAUGAUUCCUGAGGCAAUGAUAAAGUGUUUCAGGUAGGUAUAUGGACCUCGCGUGGAUCACUGCUCUUGAAAAACCUCAAUGGUGGAAGAGUGUGUGUAGACCAGGUUAUUAUUGGCCAUUGCAGGGCAUAACAUCUUACUUAAAUGAUUUCAUAUGAUUUUUCUAAUUGAGCAUGCAAGAAUGCAUGAUUUCUUUUUGGCUGUUUUCCUUUAAUUAGGUAUUUAUUUUCUUAGGAUAUCAUCAACGGUAAAUUUCAUUCUUAAUGAUUUAUAAUUUUCGUACUCGGCGUUAUAGACUAUGAUGUCUACCAAGUAUAAAUAUUUCUAUAUUCAUACUACUAAUGCUGCACUCUUUUGUACAAAUUAUAUUUUGUGUACCAGCAGUCCUUGUUGAGCUCUAGAAUCUGAGGCGUGUUAUCUGAAUAUCUCCCAGUGAGUUAUCUGGUUGAUUUACAAUGAUAGACUCCAUCUAUCCAUUAUCUUCGUCUUUUAAUUAUUUCAUACAUUAACCCAUGAUUAAACAAUAUCAUUUUGUUAGAAUACGUACCCUACUAAUUUUACUUAUUUUAGCCAAGCAGUUUUCUAUCAGUGAAACAGGUUGACUAACGUGUUUCAAUACAGCUAAAACACUAAGUAAAUGAGACAGUAAUUUUUCACAUGGGAACAACCCGGAUGAAAGAUGUAUAAAAAAUCAUGACCUGAACCUCUACUGGAUUUAACCCCAACUUCACUAAAAUCCUUGUGCCUCAACUAUCAACAAAUAACAAGACUCUUGUAAACUAGGAAUUAUAAACUCUAAUUCCUACUUCUACGAAACACAAAAGCCUUUGCAAGGUGAGUGUUCCUAAGUCUUUGAGUUCCCCAAUUUGAAUACAAUAAUCCUAACUAAGUUUAUACUAGACUGAGACUGAGUCUUGUUCCUCGCUUUUGACCUUUUUUCCUUUUUCAGAAAGAGUUAGUUUUAAGAUUUCAGAUUUUAGAAUUACAUUUGAAGAAUCAAGUUGGCCAACCUGUUUCUUUAGAGUGCAGUUUUCCUUUUCAAGAAUGUUCUCGUAAGCCUAUAGAUCAAUAAACUAAAACUUAAGACUUGUAAGAGUGUUGAAUAACUCACCCCUAUUAGAAUUUAAUUCUUGAAAAUCACCAAUUAGUGUACUCAUUAAGGAAACAAGUUUUAUUUUUAAAAAUCAAUGCAACUUUUCUUUAAGUUCAGCAAUAGUUACCUUUGAAGUACCAUCUUCUUCUUCCAUGUCUGAUUCUACAAUGGUCAUGUGAGCAGUUACAUCAACCCCCUUUCAUUAUCUGAUUUGUCCAAAUUAGAUCUUCAAGUGGCUACCAUAGAAUAUUCUUCCUUCUUUUUUGUUAGCCUUUUCUUUCAAUUCCUUCUCAUCUCUUUCUCUUCUUCAUUCAACUUAACAUAUAGGGCAAUCCCUGAUUUGGUGAUCAUUCUUACCACCCUUAUAGUAUUCAGUUGUAUUGUCAUUGGAAACUUUUUUGCUACUUGUUCCUUUCUUCUUCUUGAAUAAUUUUUUGAAAUUCUUUUUUAUGAAGGAAAUUUUUUUUCAUCCAGUUCAAUUUCUUCAAUACUAUCAGAAGAGAUUCAUUCUCCUUCAAUUUCUUCAAAGGACCUGCUAUUUUCUUCUGAACUUCAUCAAUUCGCAUUUCAUAAGUUUUAAAAUUUUCCACUAGAUCAUCCAAAGUCAUCCUAGUGAGAUCCUUUGCUUCGCUAAUUGUAGUAACCUUAACAUUCCAUUUAAACUUAGGCAAGACCUUCAACACCUUUUCAACUUGUUUCUCCGUAGUGAUGAGUUUCCCUAAGGAUGUUAUUUCAUAUGUUAAUGUAGUAAGCCUUUUUCAUCAUCUCAUGAAGAGAUUUAUUCUCCUUCAUUUUAAAAUCCUCAUAUUUAGUAAAGAUUAGAGCAAUUCUGAAUUUUCUCACUUGAGUGGUGCCCUCAUGCGGAUUAACCAAAGCAUCCCAUAUUUGCUUUGCAGUGGUGCAAUUGUACACUCUAUUGUACUUCGUUGGAUCUAGUCCUUGUACCAAAUUAUUUUUAGACUUUCUAUUUGUUUUGAUGCAACCAAAGCUCAGCUAUAAAUUCACUUCUUACCUUCUUUACCUUUUAUACAUCAACUAGCUUCAUUUGGACGGUUAGACCAUUAGUGAUCCUGUCCCACAACUCGUAGUCUUC